GGAUAGCGCAGCCAAGAUGGCGACCGAGUCGGAGUACAAGUGGGUGCUGUGUGUAAAGCCGGAAGUCAGCGUCUAUCGGAUUCCGCCCCGGGCCUCCAACCGCAGCUACAGGGCGUCUGACUGGAAAUUAGACCAGCCUGAUUGGACUGGUCGCCUCCGAAUCACUUCCAAAGGAAAGGUUGCCUAUAUCAAACUCAAGGAUAAAGUUUCAGGGGAGCUCUUUGCUCAGGCACCAGUAGAACAAUAUCCUGGUAUUGCUGUGGAGAAAGUGACAGAUUCCAGCCUCUACUUUGUAAUCCGGAUCCAGGAUGGUACUGGGCGCAGUGCUUUCAUUGGCACUGGCUUUGCAGAUCGGGGAGAUGCCUUCGACUUUAAUGUCUCUUUGCAAGAUCACUUCAAGUGGGUAAAGCAGGAAUCUGAGAUUUCUAAAGAAUCUCAAGAAAUGGAUACUCGUCCCAAGUUGGAUCUGGGGUUCAAGGAAGGACAGACCAUCAAGUUGAAAGGAGGUGCUUCUAAGCCUAAGACUACAGUGGGUGGGGACUUAAGCUUACUCCCACCCCCACCUGGAGGCAAAGUCACUAUUCCCCCACCGUCCUCCUCAGUUGCCAUCAGCAAUCAUGUCACCCCACCACCCAUUCCAAAAUCUAACCAUGGAGGUAGUGAUGCAGAUAUCCUUUUAGAUUUGGAUUCUCCUGCUCCUGUCACGACAUCAGCACCAGCUCCAGUUUCUGCAAGCAAUGACUUGUGGGGAGACUUUAGCAGCAUCCAGCUCUGUUCCAAACCAGGCACCACAGCCAUCCAACUGGGUCCAGUUUUGAAUAGCAUUGGCAGGACAUCAAGGACAGAUAUGAGGAAUAAAAAUGUCCUAAGGGCACCAAUGUGUGAGGGAAGUCAGGAACCCCUUCCCUCCCUGGAACCAAAAUGACUGGACAAUCUUUUCCAUAGCUUCUCCAUUGCAUUCA